AUUGAACGCUGGCGGCAGGCCUAACACAUGCAAGUCGAACGGAGCGGCGGACGGGUACGUAAUGCCUAUGAAUCUGCCUGGUACUGGGGGAUAACGUUCGGAAACGGGCGCUAAUACCGCAUACUCUCAGAAGAGCCUAUGACGGAGUAGCUAGUUGGUGGGGUAAAGGCCUACCAAGGCGACGAUCCGUAACUGGUCUGAGAGUAUGAUGAGUCACACUGGAACUGAGACACGGUCCAGACUCCUACGGGAGGCAGCAGUGGGGAAUAUUGGACAAUGGGCGCAAGCCUGAUGCAGCCAUGCCGCGUGUAUGAAGAAGGCCUUCGGGUUGUAAAGUACUUUCAGCGGGGAGGCGUUACCCGCAGAAGAAGCACCGGCUAACUCCGUGCCAGCAGCCGCGGUAAUAC
rnacentral:rRNA from 1 species